GACGAACGCUGGCGGCGUGCUUAACACAUGCAAGUCGUACGGUAAGGCCCUUUCUGGGGUACACGAGUGGCGAACGGGUGAGUAACACGUGCGUAACCUGCCCACAACUUUGGGAUAACGCUAGGAAACUGGUGCUAAUACUGGAUAUGUGCUCCUGCUGCAUGGUGGGGGUUGGAAAGCUCCGGCGGUUGUGGAUGGACUCGCGGCCUAUCAGCUUGUUGGUGGGGUAGUGGCCUACCAAGGCGGCGACGGGUAGCCGGCCUGAGAGGGUGACCGGCCACAAUGGGACUGAGAUACGGCCCAGACUCCUACGGGAGGCAGCAGUGGGGAAUAUUGCACAAUGGGCGCAAGCCUGAUGCAGCAACGCCGCGUGCGGGAUGACGGCCUUCGGGUUGUAAACCGCGUUCAGCAGGGACGAAGCUUUUUGUGACGGUACCUGCAGAAGAAGCACCGGCUAACUACGUG
rnacentral:rRNA from 1 species